AUUGAACGCUGGCGGCAUGCUUUACACAUGCGAGUCGAACGGCAGCGCGGGCUUCGGCCUGGCGGCGAGUGGCGAACGGGUGAGUAAUGCAUCGGAACGUGCCCAGUAGUGGGGGAUAGCCCGGCGAAAGCCGGAUUAAUACCGCAUACGACCUGAGGGUGAAAGCGGGGGACCGAAAGGCCUCGCGCUAUUGGAGCGGUCGAUGUCGGAUUAGCUAGUUGGUGGGGUAAAGGCUUACCAAGGCGACGAUCCGUAGCUGGUCUGAGAGGACGACCAGCCACACUGGGACUGAGACACGGCCCAGACUCCUACGGGAGGCAGCAGUGGGGAAUUUUGGACAAUGGGGGCAACCCUGAUCCAGCCAUGCCGCGUGCGGGAAGAAGGCCUUCGGGUUGUAAACCGCUUUUGUUCGGGAAGAAAUCCUCUGGGCUAAUACCCCGGGGGGAUGACGGUACCGGAAGAAUAAGCACCGGCUAACUACGUG
rnacentral:rRNA from 1 species